rnacentral:rRNA from 2 species
CGUUGGGAACUAGUUGUGGGGUCCAUUCCACGGAUUCCGUGACGCAGCUAACGCAUUAAGUUCCCCGCCUGGGGAGUACGGCCGCAAGGCUAAAACUCAAAGGAAUUGACGGGGACCCGCACAAGCGGCGGAGCAUGCGGAUUAAUUCGAUGCAACGCGAAGAACCUUACCAAGGCUUGACAUAUACGAGAACGGGCCAGAAAUGGUCAACUCUUUGGACACUCGUAAACAGGUGGUGCAUGGUUGUCGUCAGCUCGUGUCGUGAGAUGUUGGGUUAAGUCCCGCAACGAGCGCAACCCUCGUUCUAUGUUGCCAGCACGUAAUGGUGGGAACUCAUGGGAUACUGCCGGGGUCAACUCGGAGGAAGGUGGGGAUGACGUCAAAUCAUCAUGCCCCUUAUGUCUUGGGCUUCACGCAUGCUACAAUGGCCGGUACAAAGGGCUGCAAUACCGUGAGGUGGAGCGAAUCCCAAAAAGCCGGUCCCAGUUCGGAUUGAGGUCUGCAACUCGACCUCAUGAAGUCGGAGUCGCUAGUAAUCGCAGAUCAGCAACGCUGCGGUGAAUACGUUCCCGGGUCUUGUACACACCGCCCGUCAAGUCAUGAAAGUCGGUAACACCUGAAGCCGGUGGCCUAA